UGGGGAGUCAUCAUGCCAGGUAGUCCAGAGGCAUGGUCCUAGGGCUCAGUUCCUCCGAGAGAGAGAAAGAGAGAGAGAAAAAGUGAGAAAGAGAAUUAGAGAGAGAGCAUACUUAAAUUCACACAGGACACCAGAUAAGACAGGACAAAUACUCCAGAUAUAACAGACUGACCCUAGUCCCCUGACACAAACUACUGCAGCAUAAAUACUGGAGACUGAGACAGGAGGGGUCGAGAGGCACUGUGGCCCCGUCCGACGAUACCCCCGGACAGGGCCAAACAGGCAGGAUAUAACCCCACCCACUUUGCCAAAGCACAGCCCCCACACCACUAGAGGGUUAUCUUCAACCAUCAACUUACCAUCCUGAGACAAGUCCGAGUAUAGCCCACAAAGAUCUCCACCACGGCACAACCCAAGGGGGGGCGCCAACCCGGACAGGAAGAUCACGUCAGUGACUCAACCAAAUCAAGUGAUGCUCCCCUCAUAGGGACGGCAUGGAAGAGCACCAGUAAGCCAGUAACUCAGCCCCUGUAAUAGGGUUAGAGGCAGAGAAUCCCAGUGGAGAGAUGGGAACCGGCCAGGCAGAGACAGCAAGGGCGGUUCGUUUCUCCAGUGCCUUUCCGCUCAACUUCACACUCCUGGGCCAGACUGCACUCAAUCAUAGGACCUACUGAAGAGAUGAGUAUUCAAUAAAGACUUAACGGUUGAGAAUGAGUCUGUGUUUCUCACAUGGAUAGGCAGACCAUUCCAUGAAAAUGGAGCUCUAUAGGAGAAAGCCCUGCCUCCAGCUGUUUGCUUAGAAAUUCUAAGGACAGUAAGGAGGCCUGUGUCUUGUGACCGUAAGUCAGGGAUUUCCUCCUCUUCUUCCGAAGAGGAGAGGCGAAAAGGAUCAGAGGACCAAUAUGCGGCGUGGUAAGUGUCCAUGAUUCUUUUAAUAUGUAAAAUGUGCACAUGAACAACUGACUACAAAAACAAGAAACGUGUGAAACCUAAAACAGUCCUAUCUGGUGCAAAACACAGAGACAGGAACAAUCACCCACAAACACACAGUGAAACCCAGGCUACCUAAGUAUGAUUCUCAAUCAGAGACAACUAAUGACACCUGCCUCUGAUUGAGAACCAUACUAGGCCGAAACAUAGAAAUAUCCAAAUCAUAGAAAAUCAAACAUAGACUGCCCACCCAACUCACGCCCUGACCAUACUAACUAAAUACAAAACAAAGGAAAUAAAGGUCAGAACGUGACACCGUAGCGUACAUGUAGGUAUGUACGGCAGGACCAAAUCAGAAAGAUAGGUAGGAGCAAGCCCAUGUAAUGCUUUGUAGGUUAGCAGUAAAACCUUGAAAUCAGUCCUUGCCUUAACAGGAAGCCAGUGUAGGGAGGCUAGCACUGGAGUAAUAUUAUCAAAUUUAUUGGUUAUAGUCAAGAUUCUAGCAGGUGUGUUUAGCACUAACAGAGGUUUAUUAAGUGCUUUAUUCAGGUAACCUGAAAGUAGAGCAUUGCAGUAGUCUAACCUCGAAGUGAGAAAAGCAUGGAUUAAUUUUUCUGCAUCCGUUUUGGACAGAAAGUUUCUGGUUUUUGCAAUGUUACGUUCGUGAAAAGAGAGAUCAGGGUCCAGAGUAACACCGAGGUCCUUCACAGUUUUAUUUGAGAUGACUGUACAACCAUCAACAUUAAUUGUCAGAUUCAACAGAAGAUCUCUUUGUUUCUUGGGACCUAGAACAAGGAUCUCUGUUUUGUCCUAGGUUAAAAGUAGAACAUUUGUCAGUCAUCAUUCAGGUAGGUCCUAGCCAGUUAUCAUUCAGAUAAGUCCUCCUAGCAAGUCAUCAUUCAGGUAGGUCCUCCUAGUCAGUCAUCAUUCAGGUAGGUCCUCCAAGUCAGUCAUCAUUCAGGUAGGUCCUCCAAGUCAGUCAUCAUUUUGAUAGUUCCUCAUAGUCAGUCAUCAUUCAGGUAGGUCCUAGCCAGUCAUCAUUCAACCAGUCAUCAUUCAGGUAAGUUCUCCUAGUCAGUCAUCAUUCAGGUAGGUCCUCCUAGUCAGUCAUCAUUCAGGUAGGUCUUAGUCAGUCAUAUUUCAGGUGGGCCCUAAUCAGUCAUCAUUCUGGUAUUCCUAGCAAGUCAUCAUUCAGGUAGGUCAUCCUAGUCAGUCUUCAUUCAGGUAGGCCAUAGUCAGUAAUCAUUUAGGUAGGCCAUAGUCAAUCAUCAGUCAGGUAAGUCCUCCUAGCCAGUCAUCGUUUAGGUAGGUCCUCAUGGUCAGUCAUCAUUCAGGUAGAUUCUAGCCUGUCAUCAUUCAGGUAGGUCCUCCUAGCCAGUCAUCAUGCAGGUAGAUCCUCCUAGCCAGUCAUCAUUCAGGUAGGUCAUAGUCACUCGUCUUUCAGGUAGGUCAUAGUCAGUCACAGUGAUGAGAGGGCCUUGCUCUGUUUAUCUUUAGAAGGAUCUUAUCCUUCGUCUAGUUGUGUCUAGGGUUGCAAAAUUACAAGAACUUUAAAUAAUUUCCAUGGUUUUCCCAACAUCCCAGUUGGAGGAUCCCAGAACCAGGAGGAAAUAAGCAGGACAUCCGGAACCCUCCAACCAGGAUUUCUGGAAAACUAGGGAAUUUAUUGACAGUUCCCUGAAUUUUGUAACCCUAGUUGUGUCCCAAUAAAUGCAGAAGGAGCUGUGCCAGGAGAGGGCCUGUGGGAGUAUAGUGAUGAGAUUGACCACUCUCUCUGUGGUACAACUGCUGCUGACUCAUCCUGCACUACCUGCAGGACUCAGGCUUAGUACUCAUCACACACACACACACACACACAUUUCCCACAGAUGACAUGUUUGAACUGUCCUUGUGGUUGUCUCGGUGGGUGUAGGUUGACCAGUGAGGGUUUCAACAACUUGUUGUUAGUCUACUCCUCUCUGGUUCUGUUUGGCUUCAAGAGUGAAGAUCUGGAUGUCAAGAAGUUGUGUACAUUGCCAAAUGGAUCUGCCAGAUAAGAUGGCGCCGGAGAACAAGGCUGACGUUUUACAUAUUCCUAACCAAUUUUUUGUUUGUUUCUUUGCGUUGUUUGUAACUUAUUUUUUUAACGUAUUUUGUACGUAAUGUUGCUGCUACUGUCUCUUAUGUCUGACAAUAACUUCUGGGCAUCAUAACUGCGAUUACUCACCACGGACUAGCAGAAUGUCACAACUUCUGCCAAAGUAGGUCCCUCUCCUUGUUCGGGCGGCAUUGUGCGGUCGACGUCACCGGCUUUCUAGCCACCCCCGAUCCACUUUUAAUUUUCCAUUUGUUCUGUCUUUGUCUUACACACCUGGAUUCACUCAACCAAUUACUUGUUUAUUAUUUAACCCUCUGUUUCCCAUGUUGUGUUUGUGAGUGAUUGUUAAUUGUAAUUCGGUCCGUCUUUGUGGGCUUGUGAUGUUACUUUGUAUAUUUGUCUUUUGAGUAAAGUACGUUGAUUACUCAUAUCUGCUGCCCUGCGCCUGACUCUCUACACCAGCUACACACAGGACCCUUACACAGAAUCCUUUUUUUCCUUUAACGAGUCCGACAAGCCCAACGUGAAUGAUAUACUGCUUACCCGGGAACAGGCCCAGAUCCCCGUGAUUUGCAUGAAGAGAAGGCAGAGAAAAAGGGGCCAGUGGGCGGGCUGCCUUCUGAGAAUUCAUAGGCGAUCGAAUAUAAACCCCCACUUCCUUCCAUUCUGCUAGCAAACGUGUAAUCUUUGGGA
ensembl:lncRNA